UAUAUUAAGAUUGUUGAAAGUACCUUUUGUUUCUGGAUAUUUUUUUUCCAGUUUAAUUGUGUAAGUUGUGUGUAUUAAGUAAUAAUUUUUAUUAUUCUUAUUAUGUUUUUUAUAUGUUUUUUUAGUUUUAAACUUGUUGCUUUUACCGGACAUCUAAACCAAAUAUGUGAAGACUUGUAGAAAUAACUAUAAAAUGAGUGAUAAUUUUGAAUAUUUAGGUCUUAAUGGGUUUUAAACGAAUUUAUGUAUUUCUCAUAAGAAGACAAUAGCAUUGGCCUGUUGACAUUGGGCAUGUAAGCUAUUUUCAUAAGACAAGAGGAGUAAGUAGGUGGAGAUGUUGUUGCCGCUUUUGUGUAUGUCGGGAUUGUCUCUUGUAUCUCCUGGUGUGGUUGUGGUUGUUUCUCUUUUAUUUGAUGUGUAAUAUGUAAACAAAAAUCAUUGUUAGUUGUAUUUAUCAGAGUUCGUAACUUACUUUAAUUUUUUGUUUAGGUAAUUUCACUCAUUUUGGUUGUCGUCUUCAUCAUCUUCGUAAGCAUCUGCGAAAGUAAGUUUGUAAAUUGUUAAAUAUCUAGACGUGUAGUUUGUAUUUUUUAUGCUGACUCAAUGUAUU
rnacentral:lncRNA from 1 species